GUCCGGACUGACCUCGGCUAGAGAGAGGAGCCAGGGACAGGACAUGAGGACGGGGAACCCCACCCAGUUCCUCACUCCUCUGACUGGCUCCUCUGCUCCAUCCUCCACCCCACCAUGAUCCCUUGGGAGGAAUUGCACGUUUAAGAAUCUCUCCUAGGGACUUCCCUGGUGGCGCAGUGGUUAAGAAUCUGCCUGCCAAUGCAGGGGAGACGGGUUUGAUCCCUGGUCCAGGAAGAUCCCACAUGCCGCGGGGCAACUAAGCCCAUACACCGCAACUACUGAGCCUGCGUGCCGCAACUACUGAAGCCCACACGCCUAGAACCCGUGCUCUGCAACGAGAGAAAGCCACCGCAAUGAGAAGCCCGAGCAGCGCAAAGAAGAGCAGCCCCCGCCCACUGCAACUAGAGAAAGCCCUCGCGCAGCAAUGAAGACCCAACGCAGACAAAAAAAGAAUCGCUCCUAAAAAGUGCUU